CCUACGGGGGGCAGCAGUGGGGAAUAUUGCACAAUGGGGGAAACCCUGAUGCAGCAACGCCGCGUGAGUGAAGAAGGUUUUCGGAUUGUAAAGCUCUGUUAGCAGGGAAGAGGAAGGACGGUACCUGCAGAGGAAGCCACGGCUAACUACGUGCCAGCAGCCGCGGUAAUACGUAGGGGGCAAGCGUUAUCCGGAUUUACUGGGUGUAAAGGGAGCGUAGACGGCUGUGCAAGUCUGAAGUGAAAGCCCGUGGCUCAACCGCGGAACUGCUUUGGAAACUGUAUAGCUUGAGUACUGGAGAGGCA
rnacentral:rRNA from 1 species